UACGGAGGGUGCAAGCGUUGUUCGGAAUCACUGGGCUUAAAGCGCGUGUAGGCGGAGUGUCAGGUGCUGUGUGAAAUCCCCGGGCUCAACCCGGGAACUGCGCGGCAAACCGGCAUUCUUGAGGCAAGUAGAGGUGACUGGAACGACCGGUGGAGCGGUGAAAUGCGUAGAUAUCGGUUGGAACGCCAGAGGCGAAAGCGGGUCACUGGGCUUGUCCUGACGCUGAGACGCGAAAGCGUGGGGAGCAAAC
rnacentral:rRNA from 1 species